rnacentral:misc_RNA from 1 species
ACUGACACGCUGUCCUUUCCCUAUUAACACUAAAGGACACUAUAAAGAGACCCUUUCGAUUUAAGGCUGUUUUGCUUGUCCAGCCUAUUCUUUUUACUGGCUUGGGUCUGUCGCGGUGCCUGAAGCUGUCCCCGAGCCACGCUUCCUGCUUUCCCGGGCUUGCUGCUUGCGUGUGCUUGCUGUGGGCAGCUUGUGACAACUGGGCGCUGUGACUUUGCUGCGUGUCAGACGUUUUUCCCGAUUUCCCCGAGGUGUCGUUGUCACACCUGUCCCGGUUGGAAUGGUGGAGCCAGCUGUGGUUGAGGGCCACCUUAUUUCGGCUCACUUUUUUUUUUUUUUUUUUUCUCUUGGAGUCCCGAACCUCCGCUCUUUUCUCUUCCCGGUCUUUCUUCCACAUGCCUCCCGAGUGCAUUUCUUUUUGUUUUUUUUCUUUUUUUUUUUUUUUUUUUGGGGAGGUGGAGAGUCCCGAGUACUUCACUCCUGUCUGUGGUGUCCAAGUGUUCAUGCCACGUGCCUCCCGAGUGCACUUUUUUUUGUGGCAGUCGCUCGUUGUGUUCUCUUGUUCUGUGUCUGCCCGUAUCAGUAACUGUCUUGCCCCGCGUGUAAGACAUUCCUAUCUCGCUUGUUUCUCCCGAUUGCGCGUCGUUGCUCACUCUUAGAUCGAUGUGGUGCUCCGGAGUUCUCUUCGGGCCAGGGCCUAAGCCGCGCCAGGCGAGGGACGGACAUUCAUGGCGAAUGGCGGCCGUUCUUCUCGUUCUGCCAGCGGGCCCCUCGUCUCUCCACCCCAUCCGUCUGCCGGUGGUGUGUGGAAGGCAGGGGUGCGGCUCUCCGGCCCGAGCGCUGCCCCGCGCGCACUUUUCUCAGUGGUUCGCGUGGUCCUUGUGGAUGUGUGAGGCGCCCGGUUGUGCCCUCACGUGUUUCACUUUGGUCGUGUCUCGCUUGACCAUGUUCCCAGAGUCGGUGGAUGUGGCCGGUGGCGUUGCAUACCCUUCCCGUCUGGUGUGUGCACGCGCUGUUUCUUGUAAGCGUCGAGGUGCUCCUGGAGCGUUCCAGGUUUGUCUCCUAGGUGCCUGCUUCUGAGCUGGUGGUGGCGCUCCCCAUUCCCUGGUGUGCCUCCGGUGCUCCGUCUGGCUGUGUGCCUUCCCGUUUGUGUCUGAGAAGCCCGUGAGAGGGGGGUCGAGGAGAGAAGGAGGGGCAAGACCCCCCUUCUUCGUCGGGUGAGCGCCCACCCCGCGCACUAGUACGCCUGUGCGUAGGGCUGGUGCUGAGCGGUCGCGGCUGGCCUUGGAAAGUUUCUCGAGAGACUCAUUGCUUUCCCGUGGGGAGCUUUGAGAGGCCUGGCUUUCGGGGGGGACCGGUUGCAGGGUCUCCCCUGUCCGCGGAUGCUCAGAAUGCCCUUGGAAGAGAACCUUCCUGUUGCCGCAGACCCCCCCGCGCGGUCGCCCGCGUGUUGGUCUUCUGGUUUCCCUGUGUGCUCGUCGCAUGCAUCCUCUCUCGGUGGCCGGGGCUCGUCGGGGUUUUGGGUCCGUCCCGCCCUCAGUGAGAAAGUUUCCUUCUCUAGCUAUCUUCCGGAAAGGGUGCGGGCUUCUUACGGUCUCGAGGGGUCUCUCCCGAAUGGUCCCCUGGAGGGCUCGCCCCCUGACCGCCUCCCGCGCGCGCAGCGUUUGCUCUCUCGUCUACCGCGGCCCGCGCCUCCCCGCUCCGAGUUCGGGGAGGGAUCACGCGGGGCAGAGCCUGUCUGUCGUCCUGCCGUUGCUGCGGAGCCAUGUGGCUCCGGUUGUGUGGUUGGUGGCUGGGGAGAGGGCUCCGUGCACACCCCCGCGUGCGCGGUACUUUCCUCCCCUCCUGAGGGCCGCCGUGCGGGACGGGGUGUGGGUAGGCGACGGUGGGCUCCCGGGUCCCCACCCGUCUUCCCGUGCCUCACCCGUGCCUUCCGUCGCGUGCGUCCCUCUCGCUCGCGUCCACGACUUUGGCCGCUCCCGCGACGCGGGCCUGCGCCGCGCGUGGUGCGUGCUGUGUGCUUCUCGGGCUGUGUGGUUGUGUCGCCUCGCCCCCCCCUUCCCGCGGCAGCGUUCCCACGGCUGGCGAAAUCGCGGGAGUCCUCCUUCCCCUCCUCGGGGUCGAGAGGGUCCGUGUCUGGCGUUGAUUGAUCUCGCUCUCGGGGACGGGACCGUUCUGUGGGAGAACGGCUGUUGGCCGCGUCCGGCGCGACGUCGGACGUGGGGACCCACUGCCGCUCGGGGGUCUUCGUCGGUAGGCAUCGGUGUGUCGGCAUCGGUCUCUCUCUCGUGUCGGUGUCGCCUCCUCGGGCUCCCGGGGGGCCGUCGUGUUUCGGGUCGGCUCGGCGCUGCAGGUGUGGUGGGACUGCUCAGGGGAGUGGUGCAGUGUGAUUCCCGCCGGUUUUGCCUCGCGUGCCCUGACCGGUCCGACGCCCGAGCGGUCUCUCGGUCCCUUGUGAGGACCCCCUUCCGGGAGGGGCCCGUUUCGGCCGCCCUUGCCGUCGUCGCCGGCCCUCGUUCUGCUGUGUCGUUCCCCCCUCCCCGCUCGCCGCAGCCGGUCUUUUUUCCUCUCUCCCCCCCUCUCCUCUGACUGACCCGUGGCCGUGCUGUCGGACCCCCCGCAUGGGGGGCGGCCGGGCACGUACGCGUCCGGGCGGUCACCGGGGUCUUGGGGGGGGGCCGAGGGGUAAGAAAGUCGGCUCGGCGGGCGGGAGGAGCUGUGGUUUGGAGGGCGUCCCGGCCCCGCGGCCGUGGCGGUGUCUUGCGCGGUCUUGGAGAGGGCUGCGUGCGAGGGGAAAAGGUUGCCCCGCGAGGGCAAAGGGAAAGAGGCUAGCAGUGGUCAUUGUCCCGACGGUGUGGUGGUCUGUUGGCCGAGGUGCGUCUGGGGGGCUCGUCCGGCCCUGUCGUCCGUCGGGAAGGCGCGUGUUGGGGCCUGCCGGAGUGCCGAGGUGGGUACCCUGGCGGUGGGAUUAACCCCGCGCGCGUGUCCCGGUGUGGCGGUGGGGGCUCCGGUCGAUGUCUACCUCCCUCUCCCCGAGGUCUCAGGCCUUCUCCGCGCGGGCUCUCGGCCCUCCCCUCGUUCCUCCCUCUCGCGGGGUUCAAGUCGCUCGUCGACCUCCCCUCCUCCGUCCUUCCAUCUCUCGCGCAAUGGCGCCGCCCGAGUUCACGGUGGGUUCGUCCUCCGCCUCCGCUUCUCGCCGGGGGCUGGCCGCUGUCCGGUCUCUCCUGCCCGACCCCCGUUGGCGUGGUCUUCUCUCGCCGGCUUCGCGGACUCCUGGCUUCGCCCGGAGGGUCAGGGGGCUUCCCGGUUCCCCGACGUUGCGCCUCGCUGCUGUGUGCUUGGGGGGGGCCCGCUGCGGCCUCCGCCCGCCCGUGAGCCCCUGCCGCACCCGCCGGUGUGCGGUUUCGCGCCGCGGUCAGUUGGGCCCUGGCGUUGUGUCGCGUCGGGAGCGUGUCCGCCUCGCGGCGGCUAGACGCGGGUGUCGCCGGGCUCCGACGGGUGGCCUAUCCAGGGCUCGCCCCCGCCGUCCCCCGCCUGCCCGUCCCGGUGGUGGUCGUUGGUGUGGGGAGUGAAUGGUGCUACCGGUCAUUCCCUCCCGCGUGGUUUGACUGUCUCGCCGGUGUCGCGCUUCUCUUUCCGCCAACCCCCACGCCAACCCACCACCCUGUGCUCCGCGCCCGGUGCGGUCGACGUUCCGGCUCUCCCGAUGCCGAGGGGUUCGGGAUUUGUGCCGGGGACGGAGGGGAGAGCGGGUAAGAGAGGUGUCGGAGAGCUGUCCCGGGGCGACGCUCGGGUUGGCUUUGCUGCGUGCGUGUGCUCGCGGACGGGUUUUGUCGGACCCCGACGGGGUCGGUCCGGCCGCAUGCACUCUCCCGUUCCGCGCGAGCGCCCGCCCGGCUCACCCCCGGUUUGUCCUCCCGCGAGGCUCUCCGCCGCCGCCGCCUCCUCCUCCUCUCUCGCGCUCUCUGUCCCGCCUGGUCCUGUCCCACCCCCGACGGCUUCGCUCGCGCUUCCUU